GUUCUUUCGAUAUUUAUGUUAUCAAUUUUUAGUAAUGGUAGCAUUCUUGGUAUAUUAUUUUUUUGAUGGUUGGAAUGAAACAAGAUGUAUUUUGUUUUUUCUGUAUUUAAAGAUAAUUUAUUUACUUUAAACCAGGUGUUUAGAUUCUCAAGGUCAUCGUUCACAGAUUCAAAGAGAUUUUCAAUUGAUGCUGAUGAAUAAAACAAAUUUGUGUCAUCAGCAAACAUUACAGCAUCAAGUUUUUUUAGGGAUUGUGGAAGAUCGUUAAUAUAAAUUAAAAAUAAAAGAGGGCCAAGAAUGGAACCUUGGGGAACUCCGCAUUUAAUUUCUAGUAAAUUUGAAUAUUUAUUAUCGUUCGAAAUAACGCAUUGUUGUCUGUUGCAUAAAUAACUUUUAAACCAAUCUAGGGUAGUAUUUUUUAUUCCGUAUUUUUCCAUUUUUUUAAGUAGGAUAUCAUGAUUAAUUGUGUCAAAUGCUUUGGAUAGGUCUAUAAAAGUUCCUAAUACAAAUUGCUUUUUAUUAAAAGAAUCACUUAUGCUAUUAACUAUAUCUAAAACUGCAUGUUCUGUCGAGUGUUGUGAUUGAAAACCGAAUUGUUUUUUAUCUAAGAGUUUGUUUUGAAUUAGAUAUUCAUAUAGUCUAUUGUAGAUUAUUCGUUCAAGUAUUUUAGAAAAAAUUGGAAGAAUAGAAAUUGGUCUGUAAUUAUUUAUUUGAAAUGUUUCACCGGUUUUAAAAAUAGGUAUAAUUUUAGCUACUUUUAAUUUAUCUGGUACAGUUCCAGUUUUAAUUGAUGAUUUGAAUAUUUCAAAAAUAGGUUUGCGUAUCUGCGAAGAGACAUUAGCAACAAUAUUACUGCUAAUGUCAUCUACACCAGGAGACUUGUUUAUUUUAAUAGAGUUUAUUGCAUUUUCGAAUUCGUCAAUUUUUAGUUCUUUAAAUAUUAGUUCGCUGUUGACACUAGUUAAGUAAGUUUCAAAUGAGUUGUUUGGACAGUGGAUUUUUGAAGCUAGAUUUGGGCCUAUGUUGACAAAAAAACUGUUAAAUUUUUCUGAAAUUACAUUAUAAUCGUUAUAUUCAUUAUUAUCUAUGACAAUUUGUGCAGGUAAACAAUUUGAUUUGCAGUGUUUAGUCCCAAUUAUUUCUUUUAUGAUAUCCCAAGUUUUUUUAAUAUUACCAUUUGAGUUUUUUAUUUUAUUUGAGUAAAAGUUUUUCUUCGAAUUUUUUUUAAUUUUUUCAAACAAGUUUUUAUACUGUUUGUAAACAUUUAGGUUUGCCUCACUUCUAUUUUUUAAGUAUUUGAUAUAAAGUUUUUGUUUUUUUUGGAGGAUUUUUUAAUACCUUUGGUGAUCCAAGGACAUUUUAAAUAUUUUUCUUUUAUUAAUUUUUCUUUAAUUGGGAAAUGCAUAUUAUAGUUUUUUAGGAAAAUUUUUUCAAAGUAAUUAUAAGCAGAGUUUGUGUUCCCAAGGUUGCAUUCUUGGUAUACCUUGUCCCAUUGUUCUGCCGAUAAUUUUAUAUCUUGUGUCAAAGAGAAGAAAACAGGGAAAUGAUCAGAAAUGUCUGUCUUUAUUAUUCCUGCCUUUAGAGAAGUAUCAAAGAUUGAAUUAGUUAAUAUAUUGUCUAUUGCAGUGAUUGAAGUUGGAGUUACUCGGGUUGGUUUAUUAAUAAUUGGGAAGAUGUAAUAUUGAAGCAUUUCGUCAAAAAAAAGUUUAAUAUUGGCAUUUUUUUCAUAUUGUAAACAAUCUAUGUUAAUAUCACCAAUACAGAAUAUUUUUUUUUGCU